rnacentral:rRNA from 1 species
AUGCAGUCCUCGUCUCCCCAAUCCCCCCAUCCACACGAAACCCUAGCGGCCGAAUCGCGAUCCCCUUCCCGUCUCCGUCGCGACGGCUCCACCCCUACCCCUAUGAUCGUCGAUCAGAUGCCGAUGCCGCAGAAGCGGCGCCGCCGCCGGAGGAGGCCUCUUGAAGGAGUGUCCCGCCGGCGCCUUGGUGACGGUGGCGCAUCCUUGUCUGGAUCCCUUGUCGAUCCGGACUCUGAUAGCAGCAGCCGUGUGGAUGGAGGCUCUCCGCCGCCCGGACUCCCCGACGACGAGCCUGCUAUGUCUGGAUCCGUCGUCGAUUCCGAUGGAGGCUCUCCGCCGCCCGACGAGCCUGCAACAGAGCCAAGGUACCAUGAAAUUGUUGCCUCGCGCCUCGCCCAAUUGGAAUUGCCAGUCGGCUCGGAAUGGGACUUGGCCGGUUUUUCAGAUAUCCCUUCCCGUGAAAUCCUCGAAGCCCUUACUCGUAAAUCUUUCCAUGAUGAUGAGUCGCGAGCUGCUCUAGUACAAUAUCAAAUCCAGUGUUUCUUGAACGAGGAGACCCAGGAGGGACGAGACAGAGAUUCACAAGAUUCGGCCGUCGUUGUUGUUGCUGAACCGGCCAAUGAUGCUAUCACGAAGCAGCAACACAAAAGCGACUGUGAAAAGCUAGGGGCCCGCAUGACUGAAAUUGAGACUUACACCGAACUGGACCAAGAGGAGACCAACAAGUUCCAUCUCAAGUAUGCGCUUUAUCGCAUCAAAGCUUGCCUGCUGCUGAAAGGAGUGCCGGUUGACAAGAUUGAUGAUGCUGCGUUGGAACGCAAGUACCCUCCAGAGCUUAUCGUCAAGAACGACUACUUCUUUCACUACGUCCAAGAUGGCUUCUUUGGUUGGUAUUUUGAUUCCGAACUCUGUUACAAAAAGUCCUUGAGCGACUACCAGCGGCUAGUCAUUUUCAAUGAUGGUGGCCUUGAGUAUACAAGGUGGAGUAGAUACCGAGCAUUUUAUAGCACCCCUGACGCUGAUAGAGAUUAUCUCCAAUACUGGGAAACAAUUGUGAAGGAAAUUAAAUGGCUUGAACAGUAUUUGCUGACAAAUGAGUCGUCUAUUGAGUGGGCGCGUAUACAUUCAAAGGCCACAUUCCAAGCAUGUAGGAUCGCAGCUGGGUUUCAGAACAUGACUCUGGAACUAGCAGCUGCUGGUUUGCAUGAGUAUAUAUGGAAUGCACGCAUGGAUCUCAUGUUUGAGAAAGAUCGUGAUGGUGUCUUCUAUCAGAUUUGGAAGCGGGUCAAUGAUAAUCAUCAGCUGAGUUUCAGAGAUGCUCUUGAGCAAGUUUAUGGUGAAAACUUGUAUUCAGCACACGACCGCAGUAUGAAGUAUGAGCUGAAUUACGGCGAUUCCAACAUGGAGCGUGUUUUUGCUCGGUGCACAAAAGGCAUUAGUGACAGUGUUCCAGAAUAUAAAGCCCGUGAGCUUAUUGCACAAGAAAUUCGUUGGACGAGUUUGUGUUCUGGAACGUAUGAGCAGUAUGCCAGGAAGAAGCUGAAGAUUGCAGAACUCAUAGGAUUAAUUCCCAAGGACAAGAUAGUAGCUGCAUAG